UCAGAGGACUAUACUGACCACAGAGACUGGCUGGACACAGUUUUUUACUGAAGAGACAUUUUUCCUGAAAUGUGUCGUGCAGAGGGAUCCAGCAAAAUGGACAAUAAAACGAAAAAAAGAUGGAAAAGUAGAAACGGCUUGUACUGCAUACAGCUUGGAAAAUAUUCAGAAGUGCUCUUUCAUAUCCCCCUCUGUGUCCCACAGUGGAAAGUACUGGUGUGAAUCUGAAUCAGGAGAGUGCAGCAACACCCUCAAUAUUACUGUGUACAGUGGAGAUGUCAUUUUGAGAGUUAGUCCACAACCCUUAAGCAAAGGAAGCACUGGGAAUCUAAGCUGUGCUGUGCGACAUAACCCUAACCACACUUGUGGUUUUCCCUCAAUUCAAAAUGUUGUGUAUUUCAGAAAUGGACUAAUAUUACACAACCAGAAAAACAGCACUCAUGAUGAAGGACAUUUUAAGUGCAGAGUUAAUUAUACAUUAAAAUGUCAGAAAAGCAAGACAUCAUACUCUGUGGAAUCACCUGACAUCCUGGUGUCGAUGACAGAACAAAUCCCCAGUCUGAAUCUAACAGUACCUUCAACACCCAGAGUGACCAAAAAUCAGAGUGAAUCAGCAUUUGUCCUCAGUCUGGGCCUGGGUCUGGGUAUAGGUUUGGGUUUUACUUUCCAGGUCAUCUUCAUAAUACUUUUACUGAGACA